CAUCCAUCACCAUAACCUUGACCUUCAAAAUUAGAUGAGAAUGUCUUCAUUUUGAUUCUUGCUUACAUGUUUAAUCUGACAAUCUUAUCUUCAUUAUUUCUUUUUCCUACUCCUGUAACUCUUUUCAUUGGUUUACAUUAAUUAUUCCUACCUGCAUUCCUUUGUUCUCCAAAUACAUCUUUUUUUCUUUUCCCUAAUCUCUUCUCUUGAUUCAAAACAGUACUUUUCAAGACACUGCUCCUUUGACUAGCUCUCUUCUGAGGGUGUUUUCCAAUCACAUUCCAGGGCUGAGAAA
rnacentral:lncRNA from 1 species